GUCCUUUAGUUUAGAAUUUAAGGUCUGGCCUGCCCACUGAUAUUUUUAAUGGCCGCAGUAAUUUGACUGUGCAAAGGUAGCAUAAUCAUUAGUUUUUUAAUUAAAAGCUUGAAUGAAUGGUUGGACGAAAUAAAGUCUGUCUCUUAAUAAUAUUUAGAAUUUAAUUUUUAAGUUAAAAAGCUUAAAUUUUUAUAAAAGACGAGAAGACCCCAUAGAUUUUUAUAAUUUUUUUUAUAUUUUUAAUUAAGAAUACUUUAUUAAUUAUAAAUUAAAUUAUUAUAUUGGGGUAAUAGGAAGAUUAGUUAAAUUCUUUUUAUAAAUAUUUUCAAUGAUUUUUGUUUUUGUGAUCCUUUUUUAUAGAUUAAAAGAUUAAGUUACCUUGGGGAUAACAGCGUAAUUUUUUUAGAGAGUUCUUAUCGAAAAAAAAGUUUGCGACCUCGAUGUUGGAUUAAAAGUUUUUCUGGGUGUAGAAGUUCGGAGGUUUGGUCUGUUCGACCAUUAAAUUUUU
rnacentral:rRNA from 1 species